AUGAUAUUUAGGGACUUACACAUAAACUUGCUUUCUAUCAUGUUUCUAUGUCAUCAGCCAUUUCAGUGUUUUGUGUAAAUGGAAAAUGUAGUAACUGAAGAAAAUGAUAAUUUGAGAUUAUAAAAAGAUUAAUCCAUGGUCUGCAAUCAUAUUUGCGCAAGGUAAGUUUGUUUGUAUUACUAUAAUAGAUAUACUGACUAAGUAAAUAUGUGCGUGAAUACUUUUAUAUAAGUAGAAACAUUUCUAAUAUGUGAUUGCUUCAAGCAAUCAGUACAAGGUUCUUCCGUAUUAAAGUCAAUCCUUUGGGUACUGCUCUUUUCAUAGCAGUACAGUGAAAAUGCUCUUUUGUUAUAUUUGCAAUGAAGGCUUUUCACAGUUCUAAUGUUUUUUUUUUUAAUUUUUCAUUAAUAUGUGACAUAAUUUCAAUGUUAAUUAAUGGUUAUCACAUAUAAGAAUCUUUUUACUGUUGAUAUACAGUGUCUUGUGUUCAUAUUGGGUUUUCUUUUCUUUUUUUUAACAUUUGCUCAUUUUAUUUGUACUUGUCUAGUAUUUUGUGUUCUUACAUUUAUUUUACUUGCCAAUUUUAUUGGCAAGUUGAAAUAAAUACUCGGGAGAAAUAAUUCUGACUGAUUACAGCAUCUUUUUUGCACGUUGAAAAACGCGUCAGUGCUGUAUUUAGACAUUUAUUUAGCCAUUGGAUUUUAUUUGAUUUGAUUUGUGUUUUAUUUGUGUGUAUGGUGCUAAUAAAUUGGAUAUAUUCCUACAAGGAGGUGCUGUUAGAUUGAUGGGGAAGCAGUAAUUCCAUACAUAUCAAGCUAUCAGCUGAAUAAAGUCCAGGAGGAUUGCAGAGGAUACUGGCAAUCUGGUUAGCCAGAUUGACAGUAUCCUGUGUGUGCGCAUGCUCCUGAAUCCAGCACAGAGGCUUCUCAAUGGGAAGUCUCUGAUUGGUGUAUUCCCUGGAACACACAGAACAUCUCUGUUGGAAAAAGAGGGACGAGCUUGCAAAUGCUGCAGACAACAGGUCUGCAGCUUUUGCAAGCUGUUUUAUUUUAUCAUGUACCCACAAUGAAAACAUGCAGAACAAAUACAGGCAAUACAGGUAUAUCUACUGAAUUGUAAAAAAAAAAUGGUGGAGUAUUCCUUUACAUUUUUUUAAAUUGUAGUUGUCCACUGAGAGCUAUAAUUAUCAUUAGCUGAUAUGUUAUGUAAACUUCAUUUGGAUUCUCCUGCCUUUUGGUAUGGCUAACCAGACUCAAGGCAUCACUAGUCGGAGAGGAAUUGAACACAGAGUUAUUCACUAAAGUCAAAAUCCAGAAAAACGGAUGUCAAAAAAGUUAUAAAUUGAUUUGCAUGUCAAUAAAUGAAAUAAGUAUUUGAUCCCCUAUCAAUCAGCAAGAUUUCUAGCUCCCAGUUGUCUUUUACACAGAUAAUGAGCUGAGAUUAGGAGUACUCUCUUAAAGGGAGUGCUCCUAAUCUCAGCUUGUUACCUGUAAUCAAUCAAUCAGAUUCCAAACUCUCCACCAUAGCCAAGACCAAAGAGCUGUCCAAGGAUGUCAGGGGCAAGUUUGUAGACCUACACAAGGCUGGUAUGCAAACCAUCGUCAAGCAGCUUGGUGAGAAGGUGACAACAGUUGGUGCUAUUUUGGCAAAUGGAAGAGACACAAAAUAACUGUCAGUCUGGUGCUCCAUGCAAGAUCUCAAUGAUCAUGAGAACAGUGAGGAAUCAUCCAAGAACUACUAGGGAGGAUCUUGUUAAUGAUCUCAAGGCAGCAGGGACCAUAGUCACCAAGAAAACAGUUGGUAACAAACUUCGCCGUGAAGGACUAAAAUCCUGUGGUGCCCGCAAGGUCCACCUGCUCAAGAAAGCACAUGUACAGGCCCGUCUGAAGUUUGCCAAUGAACAUCUGGAUGAUUCAGAAUAGAACUGGGUGAAAGUGUUGUGGUCAGAUGAGACCAAAAUCGAGCUCUUUGUCAUCAACUCAGCUCGCCGUGUUUGGAGGAGGAAGAAUGCGGCAUAUGACCCCAAGAACACUAUCCCCACCAUCAAACAUGGAGGUGGAAACCUUUCUUUGGGGGUGUUUUUCUGCUAAGGGAACAGAGCAACCACACCACAUUAAAGGGACCAUGGGCAGAGGACCAUGUACCAUCAAAUCUUGGGUGAGAAUCUCCUUACCUCAGCCAGGGCAUUGAAAAUGGUUUGUGAAUGGGUAUUCCAGCAUGGCAAUGACCCAAAACACACAGCCAAGGCAAAAAAGGAGUGGCUCAGGAAGUAGCACAUUAAGGUCCUUGAGUGGCCUAGCCAGUCUACAGACCUUAAUACCAUAGAAAAUCAGUGGAUGGAGAUGAAGGUUCUAGUUGCCAAACGUCAGCCUCGAAACCUUAAUUAUUUGGAGAGGAUCUGCAAACAGGAGUGGGACAAAAUCCCUCCUGAGAUGUGUGCAAACCUGGUGGCCAACUACAAGUAACAUCUGACCUCUGUGAUUUCCUACAAGGGUUUUGUCACCAAGUACAAAGUCGAAGGGGUCAAAUACUUAUUUCACUCAUUGACAUGCAAAUCAAUUUAUUACUUUUUUGACAUGCGUUUUUUGGGAUUUUUGUUGUUGUUGUUGUUCUGUCUCUCACCGUUAAAAUACACCUACCAUUAAAAUGAUAGACUAAUCAUUUCUUUGUCAGUGGACAAACAUUUAAAAUCAGCUGGAGAUCAAAUACUUUUUACCUCAAUGUAUAAUCAUAAAAACAACUUUAGUUUAAUGAAUUAGUUUUGCUGUAUAGAUUGUGCUCUGCAGUCUCACUGCUCAAUGCUCUGACAUUUAGGAGUUAAUUCAAUUUGUUUAUACAUCUCUUGGCUGUGCAAGUAACAUCUUCCUGCAAGUGACUUGCACAGCCUUCCUAAACACAUCCUGAAAAGGAACCUAUAUAUUUUAAGCUCUGUUAUUGCACAGUCUGUUUAAUUUAGGAUUUCUUAUAUUCUGCUCUGUUAAUAGCCUUCUAUAGCCUCCUGUGAAAAUUAAACCAUUUUUUAUGCAGGCUGUGUGAGCUAUAGUCAGACAAGUUAUGGCUAGGGCUGCAUAAGCAGAAAUAGAAACAAAUGUGAUCUCAUUUCUAAAUGGCAAAAUAAUUAAGCAGCGAGGCUGCAUGGGCAUGAUCUAUAAACGGAUUAAUUAAGUUAAAGUUGUUUAGAUACUUUUAGUGUCCAUUUAAGGUUAAAAUAGCCAAAUUGAAAACUGUAAUGACUUGUCGACUGGCUUGGAAAUGUGUCAAUUUUAUAGUGACGGAUGUUGGAUGUCAUUUGUGAUUUCAUUGAUCAAGCCUUAAAGCAACAAACUCUUGCUCGUUGUUGCAUUUUGAUUGGCUGGUUAUACAAAUAUCUGUUCCUAAAAAGAGAAGUGCCCCUGGAACUCUCAAGCACAUGUUCACGUUCUGGAUUUUUGGACCCUCUACACUUUGGCUGAAAGUCAAAUUGCUGUUUCAUUACCUAUUAUUUUAUUUGUCUGGAGUUCCUUGAACAGAUUUUUGUUUAUUCAGUUUUAAAUUAUUCUAUGUAAAAUCAACCAAACAGUUUAAGGCAAAACAGAAUGAUAUAUGAUAAAACAUACGUUCUAUGGCUUGAUUUUAUUAUAAGAUAUAAACAUGUGAACUGCAUUGAAUAGCAUUUUCCCAAUAGAUACUGUAGGAGAUAUGCUCUCGGUCUUGUAAUAUGAUCCAGUUUCUAAUAGAGGUAUAAAUGUAGAAAGUUAAAGUUUCACCAUCGUCUUAAAAGAAAUAGCAGUGAAUGUUGCAUGCGUGAAAGUUCUCUUGGAUUAAAGGUGUUGCAUAUUUGUGCUGCUUUAUUAAACAAACACCUGAUGCAUCUACCAGCUCACCAGGGCUUAGCUCAAUGCAGACUGCUUCUGGAAUUCAUGAAGGAAGUGAAUACAGGUAAGUUGUGAAGCCAUUAGCAAAUGGUUUUACUUACAUCAGAGGGGCACACGGCAGUCCUAGCACCAUAACCAAAACAGUGCCUGGAGUAAUUUUGGCCAGUGUUUGUGACCAAGUGGCUACUGAAAAAGACUGGACAUUUGCAAUACCUUGGGUUAGUCUACUAUUGCAAAUGGUAUGCCAUCAUGGUGGUAAUUCUCAUUCCUGGGCUACCAUACGCUCUCAAAGGCAAAUUUCAAUGUGAAAAAAAGGAAAAAUGUAACAUGCUAUAUUUGACCCUAUAACUUCUCAAAAUGCCAUAAAAUCUGUAGAUAGGAAGUACUGUUUUACACGUGAGACAUCGCUGAAUACAAAUGUGUAUUUUAUUGCAGUAAAAGCAAACAGUAUUAUAACAUUCACAGUAAAAAUGUCACGUAGAACUAAAAAAAUAUAUUUUUAUCAAAUUUUUUUUAUAUUUUAUUCAUAUUAAAUUAUGUUUCAUACCUAAAUAUUUGAUGUUAAAUGAAAACCCUUUUUCCCCUGAAUAAAAUGAUAUAUAAUAAGGGUGGGUGCACAUAAGAUGAAAGAGGUGAAUUAUGCCUGAACAGACAUGUAGCGCAAAUGCCAGAUUUUGUUUGUUUUGUUUUGAUCACAUCGUGUACAUUUGGCUCAGUCCUUAAGGGGUUAAACAAUAUUGCAACAUAUUUAUGUGAAGGUUUAACUUAAAAGAACACUAUUGUGCUGGGAAUGUAUUGUGGCUGUUUAGGUCCCUAGCCUCCCUUAGAUUGCAAGAAAAAGGUAUUUUAUCUACCUUUUCUCCCGGGUCCCACCUCCAUGGCUGAGAUCAUCAAUGUUGAUGAUCUCAGGCAAUCCAAUGCUUACCCAAUUGCACAAAAAGAAGCAAAAUGCAGUACUGGGCCAAUCAGCAUCUCCUCAUUAGAGAUGCAUUGAAUCAAUGCAUCUCUAUGGGAAGCGGUCAGCAUCUGCAUACUUAAUUUUUUUCCUACACCGUGCGGGUUUCUCAGCAGCUGGCACUGCCUGGUCCAGAUCAAUUUGAUGAUCUCAGCCUAUUCAAUACUUUCCCAUUGGAAAAAUGCCAUGCUGUGCCAGUCAGUAGCUCCUCCUAGAGAUGUGUUGCAUCAGUGCAUGUCCAUAGGGAGAGUUCAGUGUCUCCAUGCAGAGCAUUGCAACGCAUAGUGCAGCACUGAGAUAGGAAGCACUUGUAGUGGCCAUCUGAUUGACAGCCACUAGAGGUGUUACUACUCAGCAAUGUAAACACUGACUUUUCUCUGAAUGUUUGUAUUGAAAAGCCUGUUAGAUACUAUAGUGUCCCUUUAAAUUUUAUAACUUGCUUUCAAAUAAGUUAGGUCAGUAUUAGGCUUUGAGUGAACUCCUGAACUACAUGUGAUACUCUAAAAAUUUGAAUAUCGUGCAAAAGUUCAUUUAUUUCAGUAAUGCAACGUAAAAGGGGAAACCAAUAUAUGAGAUACACAUUACAUGCAAAGCAAGAUGGUUCAAGCUGUGAUGUCAUAAGUGCGAUGAUUAUGGUUUACAGCUCAUGAAAACCCCAAAUCCACAAUCUCAGUAAAUUAGAAUAUUGUAAGAUGCAAUAUUCUAUCUAGGCUCACAGUGUCCCACUCUAAUCAGCUAAGUAAGCCAUAACACCUGCAAAGGGUUUCUGAGCCUUUACAUGCUCUCUGUCUGGUUCAGUAGGAAUCACAAUCAUGGGGAAGACUGCUGACACUUGUGCAGAAAACCAUCAUUGACACCCUCCAUAAGGAGGGAAAGCCUCAAAAAGUAAUUGCGAAGGAAGUUGGAUGUUUCCAAAGUGCUGUAUCAAACCCAAUUAAUAGAAAGGGGGAAACGUGUGGAAGAAAAAGGUACACAAGCAGCAGGGAUGACCGCAACAUGGAGAGGAUUGUCAGGAAAAGGCCAUUCAAAUGUGUUGGGCACUUUCACAAGGAAUGGACUGAGGCUGGAGUCAGUGCAUCAAGAGCCACCACACACAGAUGGAUCCUGGACAUGGGCUUCAGAUGUUGUAUUCCUCUUGUCAAGCCGCUCCUGAACAACAAACAACGUCAGAAGCGUCUUACCUGGGCUAAAGAAAAACAGACCUGGUCUGUUGCUCAGUGGUCCAAAGUCCUCUUUUCUGAUGAAAGCAACUUUUGCAUCUCAUUUGGAAACCAAGGACCCAGAGUCUGGAGGAAGAAUGGAGAGGCACACACUCCAAGAUGCUUGAAGUCCAGUGUGAAGUUUCCACAGUCUGUGUUGAUUUGGGGAGCCAUGUCAUCUGCUGGUGUUGGUCGACUGUGUUUCAUUAAGUCCAGGGUCAACGCAGCCAUCUACAAGGAGAUUUUGGAGCACUUCAUGCUUCCUUCCACAGACAAGCUUUAUGGGGAUGCUGACUUAAUUUUCCAGCAGGAAAGCACCAAAGCCUGGUUAAAUGACCGUGGGAUUACUGUGCUUGAUUGGCCAGCAAACUCGCCUGACCUGAACCCCAUAAAGAAUCUAUGGGGCAUUGCCAAGAGAAAGAUGAGAGACAUGAGACCAAACAAUGCAUAAGAGCUGAAGGCCGCUAUUGAAGCAUCCAGGUCUUCCAUAACAGCUCAGCAGUGCCACAGGCUGAUAGCUUCCAUGCCACGCCGCAUUGAGGUAGUAAUUGCUGCAAAAGGGGCCCAAAACAAGUACUGAGUCCAUAUCCAUGCUUAUACUUUUCAGAGGUCCGAUAUUGUUCUAUGUACACUCCUUGUUUUAUUGAUUGCAUGUAAUAUUCUAAUUUACUGAGAUUGUGGAUUUGGGGUUUUCAUGAGCUGUAAGCCAUAAUCAUAGCACUUAUGACAAAUCACAGCUUUAACUAUCUUGCUUUGCAUUUACUGCGUCUAUCUCAUAUAUUAGUUUCCCCCUUUACGUUGCAUUACUGAAAUAAAUGAACUUUUGCACGAUAUUCUAAUUUUUCAAGUAUCACCUGUAAUUCCCAACUAUUUCCAAGUUAAAUACUUCGAUUUGCAUGAGUUACUAACUCUCUUUCUCUGUCUCUCUACAAAAGUAGAUAAAUAAAAUUAAUAUAUGUGUAUAUAUAUGUGUAUAUAUAUAUGUGUGUAUAUAUAUAUAUAUAUAUGUAUAUAUAUGUAUAUAUAUGUAUAUAUAUGUAUAUAUGUGUAUAUAUGUAUAUGUGUGUAUAUAUAUAUUUAUUGUUAAAAAAAAAGAAGAAAAAAACAAUUAGGAGUCCUUAACGUGUGUUAAGUGGAGUGAAGGUUAAAGAGACACUAUAGUUCCCAGAACAACUACAGCUUAAUGUAAUGGUUCUGGUGUCUACAACCUGUCCCUGCAGGCAAUUUAAUGUUAAUGCUGUGCUUUCAGAGAAGAGUCAGUGUUUACAUUACUGCCUAGUAACAACUCUAGUGGCAACCACUCAUACGUUACACGUUCCUGUUAGUGCUGCACAGUGUGUAGCAUUGGCGUUCACACACUGCAUAACGACACUGAACGUUCCUCAUAGAUAUAAAAUGAUUCAAUGCAUCUCUAUGAGGAGAUGCUAAUUGCUGCAGCGCAGCACUUUACUAUGCAUGCGCAAUAGCCUCCUAAUGCUUUCCUAUGGGAAAACACUGGGCUGGCUGAGAUCAUCAAGUUUUAUGAUGAUUAUUUAGAGAGUAAACUCAGUUACUGCAAGGAAAGGGAGCUGGAGAUCUAAAUAGUUAUUUUACCACUAUAUUGUCUGUAAUACAUGUUUGUGUUCAUGACACUAUAGUGUUCCUUUAAUAAAUAAUUCACGUGUAUUUGCAGUUGCCUCAUACUCUUUGAAAUUAGUAUAAAAUUGUGUCCUUUAGUGUCUGAAUCUUUCUGAAUCCUUGCAUACAUACUAUUCUGUACAACAAAGAAUGAUGUUUUUGAUUCUAAACUCUGAUCUUAGAUCCCCUCUAUAAUAUUGUAUUUUCUUACAAUUGCAAGUUAACAUAUUUGACACCCUUUGUUUCAUUCCUGUAUCUCUGAGCUUAAUUGCGUCAAAUAUGUUUUCUUUACGCAUUGAACAGCAUAUAGAAUAAAUUUUCCACUAUACAAAUGGCAUUUUAUAAAUAUCUAUAAUUCAAUAUAUGGAGUGUAGUUAAUCUGUUUCCUUGACAAUCGGUUAAAUUAAAUUAUUAUGUGGUUUUUUAUGUUUAAAGUUAUUAGUGUCAAUUAGUGCUUGUAGUUGGUUUUAGAUAUUACAUUUCCGUCACUUUCAUGCACACACAUUAAUAAUAAUAUUAUUUAAACUAUGAUUCAUCAAAUCCUGCGUUUGAGAACUAAUAUAGAUUCCAAUUAUAGAUCUAAUAAAAAAAACACUGAAAUAAUUCUAGAAAUGUAUUGAAUUUGCAUUCUGUGCUUCUACUAAACCAAAAAGAGAAUAGAAAUGCUUUUACAUCUUUAUUCUAUGCCAUCAAUUCAAACGACACCCGAGAGACGGCCAAAACAUAAAUCAAUAUAAAAAAAGAUUUACUUACAGUGCAUGUUUAUACACAGGAAAACUGCAUGACUAGUAAUAAUCUUGGUUCAAUGCCAUUUUAAUAGGUGUCAAUAUGAUGACAGGCCCCUUCUGGUUGAGUUAAAGGAACACUCCUGGCACUAUAACAACUUCCUCAUCCUUCUACUUUUCUCAGAUUCUUCAGUAAACAGUAAAAGCAGACUACCUUGGACUGGGGCGCCGCUGAUUCCCAUAUGUAAGUUUCCCAAGCCGAUUGGUGAAUGUGGAACUACUAAUUGGCUUAGAGCAUCAACUGAUGCUCUCAGCCAAUUAGCUGAGAGCAGUUACAUUUGGUGGUUAAAACAUUCCGGGGGUCUUCCUGGCACCAUAGCAACUUAAGUACAAUUAAGCUGCUAUGGUUCUUGAAAGUUCCCUUUAAUUUUCGCUGCAUAUAGGUAAAUUAGAUAAAUGCAAUUUUCCAGUCUACUAUAAUUCUAACAAGGUAUUAAAUGAACUCCACAAAAAUAGCAGUUUAGCAAAUAUACCCCCUGUAAUAAAAAUAAAUAAGCAUGCUUUUCUUUCAGGGGUAUAUUGUAUCUUUGCUUGCAAUAGCUGCAGCUCCAGCAUUGAAAUCGGUAUUUUUAUAAAAUGAAACAAAGGGAAUAUUCACUACACACACAAAGCACUUCAGCAAGCUGAAUUGGUUUAUGUAUUUGGAGUGUUCCUUUAAAAUGUAAAAUAACUUCUGUAUGAAGCAGGCCAGCUCUUAUUAUUCAGGGACAUUGGAUAAUUAUUCGAUUGCAUCUGUCUAUAGUACCUCUUAUUUAGAGGCUGUGCAGAAUGCAAAAUUGGCUCUUCAAAUUCCAAGGUAAUGCUAGGACCAAUUUAUUCAAUAUCCUUCAUGUAUUUUGUAUUCCUUUCUUUCCACCCAUACUAUUCCCACUAAGCCUGUUUAUAUUUUUAGAGUAGGGGGAAGGGGCUGAAAAAUCACAAGCAGUGCCGACAGGGUCUGUCUCUCUGGCUGCUUGUAUAGUGGUGUCAUGUGUCCAUCCAGUAACCUUUUUGAUAGAUCAUGCUCCUCUCCUGAAAUUGAUUCUAGUAAAUGUAAUAUGUAUCAUGCUAAGUAUGAAAGCAUCAUGCAUACGGCAUUAUGAUAGGAUUAAACUGUUUCUAGACUCAUUGACCUUGGCUUGUUACUUUGACUAUUCUACUGCUUUUUGUUCCAACCAUUUUGCCUAAUAUAAGCCUUCCAUUAAGUCUGACCACUCUAAAGACGCACGUAUGCACACUUUAAAAUCUUCCCCAAACCUAAAGUCCUUUAAGAGAUCCCUCUCUACAUACCUCAAAAAAGAAUGCACCUGUCAUGGUUGAUUAUAUAUUUCCUACCUGUUCUAUGUUACAUUUUGUAUAUAUUGUGUAUUAAUAUUGUUUUUGUAUUUUAUUGUGCCCUAAUGUAUCAAUGCAAUGUUUUGUGGACCCAGGACAUACUUGAAAACGAGAGAAAUCUCAAUGUAUCUUUCCUGGUAAAAUAUUUUAUAAAUGAAUAAAUCUGGAUUUUUCUGCUUUUGGGGAAUUUCAUAGGAUUCAAGCCCUGUGUGUUGGUCACCCUUACUUAUUUUGGUAGAGGCUAAACAUUUAUCUGCUUAUUCAAGUAAAAUGUCAAAGGUAUAGCUUUUCCCUGAUGGCUGGGCUAGAUGUCAAAUCAAAAAGGCAACUGGCAUAUGUUAGCCUAUGUGCCUGGGUUCCAAUAGUAGUGUUCAAGCUACAUAUACUCUAUGUAUAUAAUCUCAUAUAAAUGUCUUUUAUAAAUGUUUUAUGCUGAUACUUAAAAUCAUUGUAAUUUAAUUAUUGGAAAUGUUUCUUAUAUUUUAAGAGAAACCUAUUUCUAAAAUAUUUACAGCAAAGGUUUGCACUGCCAAGUGGUUGUUUCUGAGGUUCUCAACCAUACCCAUUAAUACAGGUAUAGUCUGCAGGUGUGUUCAAAACAAGCAACACAUGUUUUUCUUGAUCCUAUAGAUGCAUCCUGAAAAUGAGGGGAAAACUAUCCUGGAUGGAAUAAUCUGCAUUAGUGCUUUUUAAACUAGUAUUCAUCUAUUUCACCAUAGCUAUGACCUGGACUCCUCAUGUCUUGGUUUCAGGAAAUGGUAAAGUCCAAUGUAUCCAUUUUAGAUUGCUGCUUUGUAAUUUUUAACAUGGUACUCUAAUUCAAACCUACUUUGUGAAUGCUAAACGAGAAAGUAAAGGUUCUGUUCUAAAAAGUGGUAUAAAGCAUUAAACAUGGGGCAAUUAUCUUGGACACCAGCGGAACCAGCAUGCACAUUCCAUUAGUGAAUCCUUCUUAGAACAGAACACUGUGAUAAAUAACCCCUUUUGUCUCUAGUACACAUAUCACCAAGGCAAGCUGCUCUGAAUAUAAACAUAUAGUCACAGCAGCUUGCGAUUAUGAUAUUUAUUUAUUGAAUUAUUUAUAUUUUGCGGACAAUGCCCUCAAUGUAUUACUUAG
rnacentral:lncRNA from 1 species